rnacentral:rRNA from 1 species
GACGAACGCUGGCGGCGUGCUUAACACAUGCAAGUCGAACGGAAAGGCCCUGCUUUUGUGGGGUGCUCGAGUGGCGAACGGGUGAGUAACACGUGAGUAACCUGCCCUUGACUUUGGGAUAACUUCAGGAAACUGGGGCUAAUACCGGAUAGGAGCUCCUGCUGCAUGGUGGGGGUUGGAAAGUUUCGGCGGUUGGGGAUGGACUCGCGGCUUAUCAGCUUGUUGGUGGGGUAGUGGCUUACCAAGGCUUUGACGGGUAGCCGGCCUGGGAGGGUGACCGGCCACAUUGGGACUGAGAUACGGCCCAGACUCCUACGGGAGGCAGCAGUGGGAAAUAUUGCACAAUGGGCGGAAGCCUGAUGCAGCAACGCCGCGUGCGGGAUGACGGCCUUCGGGUUGUAAACCGCUUUCGCCUGUGACGAAGCGUGAGUGACGGUAAUGGGUAAAGAAGCACCGGCUAACUACGUG